rnacentral:rRNA from 1 species
CCUACGGGACGCAGCAGUGGGGAAUAUUGCACAAUGGGGGAAACCCUGAUGCAGCGACGCCGCGUGAGUGAAGAAGUAAUUCGUUAUGUAAAGCUCUAUCAGCAGGGAAGAAAAUGACGGUACCUGAGUAAGAAGCCCCGGCUAACUACGUGCCAGCAGCCGCGGUAAUACGUAGGGGGCAAGCGUUAUCCGGAUUUACUGGGUGUAAAGGGAGCGUAGACGGCAGUGCAAGUCUGGAGUGAAAGGCGGGGGCUCAACCCCCGGACUGCUCUGGAAACUGUAAAGCUGGAGUGCGGGAGGGGCAG